rnacentral:rRNA from 1 species
AGAGUUUGAUCCCGGCUCAGGAUGAACGCUAGCGGCAGGCUUAACACAUGCAAGUCGAGGGGCAUCGGGAGGGAAGCUUGCUUUCCUUGCCGGCGACCGGCGCACGGGUGAGUAACACGUAUGCAACCUGCCCUCUUCAGGGGGACAACCUUCCGAAAGGGAGGCUAAUCCCGCGUAUAUCGGUUUCGGGCAUCCGGGAUCGAGGAAAGAUUCAUCGGAAGAGGAUGGGCAUGCGGCGCAUUAGCUGGACGGCGGGGUAACGGCCCACCGUGGCGACGAUGCGUAGGGGUUCUGAGAGGAAGGUCCCCCACACUGGUACUGAGACACGGACCAGACUCCUACGGGAGGCAGCAGUGAGGAAUAUUGGUCAAUGGGAGAGAUCCUGAACCAGCCAAGCCGCGUGAGGGAAGACGGCCCUAUGGGUUGUAAACCUCUUUUGUCGGAGAACAAAACCCGGGACGUGUCCCGGACUGCGUGUAUCCGAAGAAAAAGCAUCGGCUAACUCCGUGCCAGCAGCCGCGGUAAUACGGAGGAUGCGAGCGUUAUCCGGAUUUAUUGGGUUUAAAGGGUGCGUAGGCGGUCCGUUAAGUCAGCGGUAAAAUUGCGGGGCUCAACCCCGUCGAGCCGUUGAAACUGGCAGACUUGAGUUGGCGAGAAGUACGCGGAAUGCGCGGUGUAGCGGUGAAAUGCAUAGAUAUCGCGCAGAACUCCGAUUGCGAAGGCAGCGUACCGGCGCCAGACUGACGCUGAGGCACGAAAGCGUGGGGAUCGAACAGGAUUAGAUACCCUGGUAGUCCACGCAGUAAACGAUGAAUGCUGGUUGUCCGGGUCGAAUGAGAUCUGGGCGGCGAAGCGAAAGCGAUAAGCAUUCCACCUGGGGAGUACGCCGGCAACGGUGAAACUCAAAGGAAUUGACGGGGGCCCGCACAAGCGGAGGAACAUGUGGUUUAAUUCGAUGAUACGCGAGGAACCUUACCCGGGCUCAAACGGGAGUGGAAUGGACCAGAGACGGUUCAGCCUACGGGCCGCUUCCGAGGUGCUGCAUGGUUGUCGUCAGCUCGUGCCGUGAGGUGUCGGCUUAAGUGCCAUAACGAGCGCAACCCCCGCCGGCAGUUGCUAACGGGCAAUGCCGAGGACUCUGCCGGGACUGCCGCCGCAAGGCGAGAGGAAGGCGGGGAUGACGUCAAAUCAGCACGGCCCUUACGUCCGGGGCGACACACGUGUUACAAUGGGCGGUACAGCGGGAAGCCAGGCGGCGACGCCGAGCGGAACCCGAAAGCCGUUCUCAGUUCGGAUCGGAGUCUGCAACCCGACUCCGUGAAGCUGGAUUCGCUAGUAAUCGCGCAUCAGCCAUGGCGCGGUGAAUACGUUCCCGGGCCUUGUACACACCGCCCGUCA